GAAAACUACAAGCAUAAGCUCAAAACUCAAAGGAUUUGGCGGCGCUUUAGACCCACCUAGAGGAGCCUGUCCUAUAACCGAUAACCCCCGUUAAACCUUACCUUCUUUUGCCUCCAGUCUAUAUACCGCCGUCGUCAGCCUACCCUUUGAAGGUCACACCAGUAAGCAAGAUCGGUUUUAAACCCCAGACGUCAGGUCGAGGUGUAGCAUAUAAGAAGCGAAGAGAUGGGCUACAUUUCCUACACAGGGCUCACGAAUAAUGUUUUGAAACAAACAUAUUGAAGCAGGAUUUAGCAGUAAGUAAAAAAUAGAGUGUUUUUCUGAAACUGGCCCUUAAGCGCGCACACACCGCCCGUCACUCUCUCCUACUCCUAACCUCACCCCUACUUUAAAAACUCAUACUAACAAAGGAGAGACAAGUCGUAACAUGGUAAGUGUACUGGAAAGUGCACUUGGGUAAAU
rnacentral:rRNA from 1 species